ACGGGAGGCAGCAGCUAAGAAUAUUCCGCAAUGGACGAAAGUCUGACGGAGCGACGCCGCGUGGAUGAUGAAGGCCGGAAGGUUGUAAAAUCCUUUUAUGACUGAGGAAUAAGUAUGGUGAGAGAAACGCCAUAUGGUGACUGUAGGUCAUGAAUAAGCAACGGCUAAUUACGUGCCAGCAGCCGCGGUAACACGUAAGUUGCGAGCGUUGUUCGGAAUUAUUGGGCGUAAAGGGCAUGUAGGCGGUUUUGCAAGCUUAGUGUGAAAUCCCGGAGCUUAACUCCGGAAUUGCGUUGAGAACUGCAUAACUAGAGUCACUGAGGGGCAAUCAGAAUUCCAGGUGUAGGGGUGAAAUCUGUAGAUAUCAGGAAGAAUACCAAUGGCGAAGGCAGGUUACCAGCAGAUGACUGACGCUGAGGUGCGAAGGUGCGGGGAGCAAACAGGAUUAGAUACCCUGGUA
rnacentral:rRNA from 1 species